AGUAUUAAAAGAAAUAAGAUCUCAUAUAAAAUUAAAUAUUCCAAAUAAUGAGGAUUCUAAUGAAUUCAAGUUUAAAAUUUCAUUUGCAUACCAUUGAAUUAAUUUGCGUCGUCGUUUAAUUCGUUUAUAAACAAACCCAAACAAGAUUCCUCUCCGUGUUUCAUAGCGUAAUAACUUCCUGUAACCUGUUCACCCUUGCCUGCCCUUUCACGAGCGAAAUCUCGUCUCUCUGGUGUGUGAUCGACGUGGCUCCCGAGAAAGGGAACCACCCCAGACAAGGGAGAGCAACAGGUUCGGUCGUUUCUGCCUAAAAGAAGGCGUAUCUCUCAAGGAACAACCACGGCAAGACGUUCUCCCUCCGACCAAAGGUCUCGAAUAUCCUACGAGUUGCCACUGAAGCGAGGGAAGAUUUCGAACCAACAACCACACAGAUUUCCUCUCCCCACAGAGAUUAUGAGGAAUCAAUGACGAGGGAUGAGAUUCUUUUGCAAAAAUUGAUGACAAUAUCGUCUUCUAAAUAAGCCCUAUCCCUCUUCUGACUCUCUUCCCUUGUCAUUCUUAUGGAAAUCGAUAUCUAAUCGCCUGUUGCUCUCGUCUCCUUAUCCACAUAAACAUAAAUAAAUGCAAUCAUCACGAUCCUCUUUUGAUUCUUGGAACCUUUUUUUCUUUUUGUUAAAGUAAAAUACUGUUAAUUUUGCCAGUUGUAACAAUUGUAUCGUAGGGAUAAUUAAAAAUUUUAAUUUUAAUUCCCCUCCUAUACAUCCUAUUAUGAUUAAAAGUAUUAAUUUUUCAAGCUGAAAAUAACUUCGAUACAACAAAUACUAAUCAUUCGCGUUUCAACGCGUAAUAAUCGAAGCCCCUCCCCUAAUAUAUCCGAAAAUUCAACAAUCCGCCAUUGUCUGGUAAUUCAAUCCUCGUUAAAGGUUAGACUGUCGCACUUUUAAUCGAUAUUAUCUAUUAUCGACGUUGUCGAACAAGCAAAUUUCAAUUUAACUCGUAUUUACGCCCUGUAUAAUAACCGAGCGGAUAAUAACGGUUAGUUAUUGAACGCGUAUUGGAAAUAAAGUGUUGGACUACUCACCAUCGAUACUUGGUUCAAAUUGUGUACGCGCGCGAUAGUGGGCGGGAAAAUGUGUUAAGCUCGUCAAAGUGGCACGAUUCAAUUCGUUGGAAUUAACUUCCUACAACGCGUGAAUCCACGCUUUGGACAAAUGCACGCGGAAUUUCAUUAAGAACCUUUCAUUCCGGUGUUACGCGAUGUUUUAAUUGUUGACGGCGCGACUCGAUCGUUUCGAGUGGAUUAUAUGUUAUAUAUUCGUUGUUAUAUUACAGAUCGAAAAUUUGAUUGUCAUAUUGUCCUAUUUGGAUCUAUUUGAUUUAUCUGGAAAACGUGUUUUAGGAUAAAGUAAACAGUUUGUUGCAUUUUGUCGAAGCUCAAUUCUUUAUUAGUGAUCAUUUUUUUCGAAGAGAUUAUUUUGGAAUAUCAUUUAAAUCAGCUCGUUACCACAAUAGAAUGGAUCUUUUUUUGUAUAUAUUAAUAUUAAUAAUUAUUAAUUAUAUAAAUAUUGAAUAUUAAGAUCUCACAUUAUUGAAAAAUUUAAAAUUCUGAAAAUAUCUGUUCUGAAAAAUUCCCAAUUAUCCACUCGAAUAUUAAUGCGUAAAUUUAAAUUUCCAGAUAGCCUCUGCGUUACAACUCGAUAAUUAUUAAUUCGUAGUGAGAAAUAACAUUGGUAAGAUUACAUUGAAAACAGUGCACGUGAAUUAUAUGCGAAAGCGUGGUUCUUCUAGCUGUUGGUGAAGCGUCAUCGAUCGACCAGGAUUAAAUCGAGAAAAGAGUUUAACUAUGAGUGGGGGAAGGGAGGGGGGUUUUUAUCGGAUGAUGCGGAUUAUUCAUUUAAAUUGAAGAUCGAAGGCGAAUCGAUACUCACUCUCCACUUAGCAGGCAUGCAUCGAUGCAUCAACGAUGGCCGUUUUCAGUGCGGCGCCGUGCCGCUUAAACCGGUAAUUAUCGUAAUGGUCAUUAAGCAUGUGAACAAAUAACGUUCGUUAUCGGGAUUUCAGGACACGUGUAUCAGUGGACGUGGUACAACGUUAGACCGGUUUGACAAUUUCCGUGUUCUGUUUACGUAAUGCUCUGCUCGAGUGUCUGUGGUUGCAUUAACGUUAUGAAACAACAGCUCUUUGUGAGGGAACGUGCUCAUUCCAAAUAUCGCGCAUACCUAUUAUAUAUUGUCGAAGAGGGAAAAAAAAUUUUUCCAUAAUUCAUCGUUUUGCAACCGUUGUACGAAACAGAUUUUGACAUAGUACAGUUAAUUAACACGAAAAAUUCUUCGUAAUUCGUCGUAAUAUUUUUCUGAAAGUAAUAUUUAUGAAAAUAUAAAUAUAACUGUCAUUUGGUAAAUUUAAAAUUAUCUUAUAGUGAGGUUUGAAAAACCGAGAAUUAUUUUUGAAGAUUGUAAAUGCGUCGACAGUAUAAUAAUAUAUUCAUUAGAUUGAAAUAUUUGUUCAUCAAGUUACACGUUAAAUUGACCUAAUUUCAUUUAAUCUAAUAAUUUUCGGUUGAUAUAAUAAUUCUUAAUCAACAGUAUCGUUGACAAAGUAUAUCUUGAAAAAUCGAGAAUUAUUUUUAAAAAAUUCAUAAAAAAAACUUGCAAAAAUAUAAAUUUGCUAACAGAAUAUCAUAUUGUAAAUGGAAUGUAUUAAAUUAUAAAUCGCAUUAAAAAAAAAUUGAUAAAAAUUAAUUCAACUUUCUAACCUAACCUAAAAAUUUUCGAUCGAUAUAAUUAUUCCUUGUUAACCAAUACGAACGUUGGUAAGACGCUUUUAGAGAAUCAUUUUAUAUUAAUAUAAAUAAAAAUAAAAUUAUAAUACUUAUUAUUCAUCGAGUUGCAUUGAAAAUUAUAUCUAAUCCAGCUUCGGGCAACCUAACAAUUUUCGGUCAAAUGUAAUAAUUCCUCGUUAACUAGCACCACCGUUGGCAGUGGACCAAGGGACAUCUUGAAAAACCGAAAAUCCUCUCUGACACCGCGUCGCUCAACGAACAGGACAGGUUCGUUUCUAUUCCGGAUGACAAACGCAAUAACGACAGCCAUCGCGAGAGUGUCGUUUGUCCAGCGCGUGUUACCUAAGUUUCCGGGUGAUGGCGCGCGCUGCUGAAUUUUCCCCGUGGCUGGUUCGAUGAAGAGAGCCACGGGCGAUUAAUACGUGUCGUCCAAGCUGGAUGCGCGGUUGCCGCGUUUAUAUUCAAGCCGGAUUUCGUAAUUUUCUCCCCGUCAGCGUUACAUACGCUGACCAACGCCCACCAAUUUGCCAGACGUGAAACGUGGACCUGUGCACCUAUGGAAAUGCGAUGAGAAAUUGCGAUUCUCUCUCUUCCUUCUCCUGCUCUCGAUUUAUGAAACGCCAUUACCUCGAGAUCGACGAACGUUUUCCGAAACUCGACGCGUUUGCCGACAAUGCGGUGUCGCUCGUGCUGACGAACUCUCGUAUAUCGUCGAGGAUAAACUCUCCGCAGAUUUUUUGGACGAAUUAAAGUGAGAACUAUUUUCCAUUUGGAACACGUUUAAGAAUAAAACCACUGAAACCAAUAUAGCGAUAUUAAAAAAGAGCACUCACGAGAUAUUGAUAUUGGAUAUUCUUUUUCAUAAAAAUCGGGAGUUUUCCAUUGAAUGAAAAGAAGUAUUCGAAACGAAGUUAAUUGUCCAAGUCACCUUGAUCCUCGUAAAGGCGAGAGAAAAAUGCAAAAACGAGAAUUUGCACAGGUCAAAUCAAAUUCUAGAUUGUAACCAAGAAACUUCCAUCGUUCUUCUGUGGAAGGAAAAGAAAAUGCAAAAAAUUCCCAAAGAAAUCCAUUUUAUUCGUUAAGAAAAUUAUUCUUACAUACAAGAUAUCUUUCUUGUCUGUCAAAAAAAAAAUUUUUUUAAUUUUCAUUUUAAAAGUCUCAAUUUGAGGAGAUGAAAAAUCCCCUUUACUAUUACAAAUUUUAUUUCGAUCUUAUUUUUUUCAUAAUUUUACUUAUUGCCUAUAGUUUGAAAAUAUUCAAUAUUCGCUGAUAAGUUUCCAUACUCGUGUAUUUAAUCACACAUUUUUUAUUAACAAAAUUCUACCAAUACUUUCUCGAUAUAUAUUUCCAACAUGUUUUUAUAAAAUUAUAUAUUUUUAAAAAAUAUGUUCCACAAUAAAAAAAAGUGAUUGCUUAUUACCCAAUCGUACAUUCUCUUCUUUUCGACCACCAAAUGAAACUUUAACGAAAUAAACGCGGUUUCCGUGAUGAAACAGGGAAGGUGGCAGGUUGUUAUUUAGAAAGUUUGUCUUAUCAUUUAGGAAGUUGCCGCCACGUAUAGAUUCACAUAUUAUUACGUCGUGUUAAGCUUGUGUAUUCGUCGCUCGAUUAAUUGACGUUAGACAACGUUAGAUGUACGUAUUUCCAAGUCGUCAAGGCCUUGUAGAAAGCGUCGCGAGCUAUUUCGUUCGCUUCUGCCCUCAUCCCCUUCGUUAAUUUUGUUAUGCGAAACAUUGUUGUCGUCGUGGUAAUGAAAGUUGAUGAGAAAGUAUCGCCAAAUAUCGGGAAACAGUUUUACUGAGGGAGCAACUUACUUUCGAAGACGGAAUAAAACUGCAAUUUCAACGAUAGUUACGAUACGAUACUUGUUCGUUAGUUACAGACAGUAAGAAAGAAUUGGAAAAAUUAUACACGCUUUUAGGUUUUUAUACAAAAUAACGGUUAUUUGGGAUGGUAAUACUCAUUAUAUAUAUUCGUACUAUUCACUGUAAAAAGAAGUCUCGCAGUAGGAAAUACAUUUUUCUAUCGUAUUAUAUUUGUCACGUAUAUCCUGAUCCAAAAAAGGCAUAUAAUCCAGAGAAUUUUAACGUAUCAAUAUAAUAUAAAAAUUUUCAGCGUAGAUUAAUUACGAUUUGUAACGAUAAUUUAAUUUAUAAGUGUAAUUUCAUAUUCGAGUAAUUGAGACAAUAAUUGUACAAAUAACAAUUUCGAAAAUAUUUUAACUUCCAGUCUUGGACGGUUAGCCUGUAACGUACUUCACGAAUGAAAAUAAUAUUUUUGUCAUUUUAUAGCUCUUCUACUUUUAUGUAGCGUGUGGUGUCAGGUUUGUCAACAAAGCGUCUGAAGUGGGGAUAAAUGAUCCUAGCGAAGGACAACCCCUCUUGCCUCUGUGCCGUUUCUCGAGACUUGUUUUCAGCAGUGGACAGUAUUUAGUUCGAUAAAAAUAAAAUUCUUCUAGCUUUUAUUAUCCUCUAUGUUGCUAGUUAAAAUUGCUCAAAGAAAAUUCUCUAUUAUUGAUCUGUUAUUGAUUUAUAAAUAAGAAAUAUAAGUACAAGUAUUUUUUA